rnacentral:rRNA from 1 species
UAGGGAAUCUUCCGCAAUGGGCGAAAGCCUGACGGAGCAACGCCGCGUGAGUGAUGAAGGUCUUCGGAUCGUAAAACUCUGUUAUUAGGGAAGAACAAAUGUGUAAGUAACUAUGCACGUCUUGACGGUACCUAAUCAGAAAGCCACGGCUAACUACGUGCCAGCAGCCGCGGUAAUACGUAGGUGGCAAGCGUUAUCCGGAAUUAUUGGGCGUAAAGCGCGCGUAGGCGGUUUUUUAAGUCUGAUGUGAACGCCCACGGCUCAACCGUGGAGGGUCAUUGGAAACUGGAAAACUAGAGUGCAGAAGAGGAAAGUGGAAUUCCAUGUGUAGCGGUGAAAUGCGCAGUGAUAUGGAGGAACACCAGUGGCGAAGGCGACUUUCUGGUCUGUAACUGACGCUGAUGUGCGAAGGCGUGGGGAUCAAACAGG